AAAAGGAAUUUUAAAAAGCACAUAGAAAACAUAGAUGGAAAGAAAAAAACUAAAAAUCCAAAGAGUGGAAGACCUGAAAGCAAGACAAGCAAAAGAUUCAAAGCAUAAAACAUGAAUUCUGGAGAAAAAUAAAGAACUUAAUAUAUUGUGUGAAGUUGAUGUUGCCCUUCUAUUUUCUUCCCCAUCUGGUGGACCAACCUUUUUUGUUGGUCAAAAUUCCAAUGGGUUAAAUAGUAUUUGUAAGAGACCGUCGAAUUUGUCAUUCGAGGAGCACAAAGAAAGGUAAAUAAUUUUAAUAAAA